rnacentral:rRNA from 1 species
GACGAACGCUGGCGGCGUGCUUAACACAUGCAAGUCGAACGGAAAGGCCCUGCUUUUGUGGGGUGCUCGAGUGGCGAACGGGUGAGUAACACGUGAGUAACCUGCACUUGACUUUGGGAGAACUUCAGGAGACUGGGGAUAAUACCGGAUAGGAGAUCCUGCUGCAUGGUGGGGGUUGGAAAGUUUCGGCGGUUGGGGAUGGACUCGCGGCUUAUCAGCUUGUUGGUGGGGUAGUGGCGUACCAAGGCUUUGACGGGUAGCCGGCCUGAGAGGGUGACCGGCCUCAUGGGGACUGCGAUACGGCCCAGACUCCUACGGGCGGCAGAAGUGGGGAAUAUUGCACAAUGGGCGGAAGCCUGAUGCAGCAACGCCGCGUGCGGGAUGACGGCCUUCGGGUUGUAAACCGCUUUCGCCUGUGACGAAGCGUUAGUGACGGUAAUGGGUAAAGAAGCACCGGCUAACUACGUG